rnacentral:rRNA from 1 species
GGGGGAUAACUAAUCGAAAGAUUAGCUAAUACCGCAUAUUCUCUGAGGAGGAAAGCAGGGGACCUUCGGGCCUUGCGUUAUUCGAGCGGCCGAUAUCUGAUUAGCUAGUUGGUGGGGUAAAGGCCUACCAAGGCGACGAUCAGUAGCGGGUCUGAGAGGAUGAUCCGCCACACUGGGACUGAGACACGGCCCAGACUCCUACGGGAGGCAGCAGUGGGGAAUUUUGGACAAUGGGCGCAAGCCUGAUCCAGCCAUGCCGCGUGUCUGAAGAAGGCCUUCGGGUUGUAAAGGACUUUUGUCAGGGAAGAAAAGGACAGGGUUAAUACCUCUGUCUGAUGACGGUACCUGAAGAAUAAGCACCGGCUAACUACGUGCCAGCAGCCGCGGUAAUACGUAGGGUGCAAGCGUUAAUCGGAAUUACUGGGCGUAAAGCGAGCGCAGACGGUUACUUAAGCAGGAUGUGAAAUCCCCGGGCUCAACCUGGGAACUGCGUUCUGAACUGGGUGACUAGAGUGUGUCAGAGGGAGGUAGAAUUCCACGUGUAGCAGUGAAAUGCGUAGAGAUGUGGAGGAAUACCGAUGGCGAAGGCAGCCUCCUGGGAUAACACUGACGUUCAUGCUCGAAAGCGUGGGUAGCAAACAGGAUUAGAUACCCUGGUAGUCCACGCCCUAAACGAUGUCAAUUAGCUGUUGGGCAACUUGAUUGCUUAGUAGCGUAGCUAACGCGUGAAAUGACCGCC